rnacentral:rRNA from 1 species
UAAGCAUAUCAAUAAGCGGAGGAAAAGAAACCAACAGGGAUUGCCCUAGUAACGGCGAGUGAAGCGGCAACAGCUCAAAUUUGAAAUCUGGCUCUUUUAGAGUCCGAGUUGUAAUUUGCAGAGGGCGCUUUGGCUUUGGCAGCGGUCCAAGUUCCUUGGAACAGGACGUCACAGAGGGUGAGAAUCCCGUACGUGGUCGCUGGCUAUUGCCGUGUAAAGCCCCUUCGACGAGUCGAGUUGUUUGGGAAUGCAGCUCUAAAUGGGAGGUACAUUUCUUCUAAAGCUAAAUAUUGGCCAGAGACCGAUAGCGCACAAGUAGAGUGAUCGAAAGAUGAAAAGCACUUUGGAAAGAGAGUCAAACAGCACGUGAAAUUGUUGAAAGGGAAGCGCUUGCAGCCAGACUUGCUUACAGUUGCUCAUCCGGGUUUCUACCCGGUGCACUCUUCUGUAGGCAGGCCAGCAUCAGUUUGGGCGGUAGGAUAAAGGUCUCUGUCACGUACCUCCUUUCGGGGAGGCCUUAUAGGGGAGACGACAUACUACCAGCCUGGACUGAGGUCCGCGCAUCUGCUAGGAUGCUGGCGUAAUGGCUGUAAGCGGCCCGUCUUGAAACACGGACCAAGGAGUCUAACAUCUAUGCGAGUGUUUGGGUGUCAAGCCCGAGCGCGUAAUGAAAGUGAACGGAGGUGGGAACCCGCAAGGGUGCACCAUCGACCGAUCCUGAUGUCUUCGGAAGGAUUUGAGUAAGAGCAUGGCUGUUGGGACCCGAAAGAUGGUGAACUAUGCUUGAAUAGGGUGAAGCCAGAGGAAACUCUGGUGGAGGCUCGCAGCGGUUCUGACGUGCAAAUCGAUCGUCAAAUUUGGGCAUAGGGGCGAAAGACUAAUCGAACUAUCUAG